GUCCACGCCGUAAACGAUGGAUACUAGCUGUUCGGAGCAAUCUGAGUGGCUAAGCGAAAGUGAUAAGUAUCCCACCUGGGGAGUACGUUCGCAAGAAUGAAACUCAAAGGAAUUGACGGGGGCCCGCACAAGCGGUGGAGCAUGUGGUUUAAUUCGAAGCAACGCGAAGAACCUUACCAAGGCUUAAAUGUAGAUUGACCGUUUUUGGAAACAGAACUUUCGCAAGACAAUUUACAAGGUGCUGCAUGGUUGUCGU
rnacentral:rRNA from 1 species